rnacentral:rRNA from 1 species
UAACCUACCCAUCAGAGGGGGAUAACACUUGGAAACAGGUGCUAAUACCGCAUAACAGUUUAUGCCGCAUGGCAUAAGAGUGAAAGGCGCUUUCGGGUGUCGCUGAUGGAUGGACCCGCGGUGCAUUAGCUAGUUGGUGAGGUAACGGCUCACCAAGGCCACGAUGCAUAGCCGACCUGAGAGGGUGAUCGGCCACACUGGGAUGAGACACGGCCCAG